UAUAUGUUUCGCUUGUUUUCGAAUGUUGUUCUGGAUCAUCGUCGUUUAUUUCAUCAAUUCUUAUUUCGGGUAGAUUAUCUUGGUUAUUUUCUUCUUUUUCUUCUAAUUCAUCUUCUAACUGCAAUUUUUCUUUAAAUUUAAUUAUCUCAUUUGCUAAUUUUGUUUUUUCUUCUUUUUCUUUUUGUUUAAUUUCAUACAUUUCUUUUAAUAUUGCUAGCUCUUU
rnacentral:lncRNA from 1 species